AAGCCACGACAGCGAAUACUUUCAGUACUGAAAAUACUCAAGCAGCGUGUGCACAAAACUCAAAAGGCGCCAUCUGCGCAAGUACGCCGACUACCGUGUUGUGCCGCUGUCUACAAUGGGCUGCACUGCUAGCAAAACCAAAACUCCCGUUGCCAACGUUGCGAGUAAAGGCGCAGAUGAGUUCUACGCACUCGCGACCACUGAGCGGCACCCUGUAGCCCAGAAGCUGUUGGAGGAAUGGGUUUUAUUUGUAGAUGCGCAGGCGCGCCGCAACGCGGGGGACUCUAGUGCAGCACGCGCGUACCAGACCCGCCUCAAAGAGGUCUGGGCUGAUACCGCCAAUCACCCAGUCACACACCGCUCCGUCGAUUAUGUUGGCAAGAUGUUUCUCGAGUACAUCAAGGAAGACCUGUCUCACCGCGGCUGGGGCGGCAACUUCGACUACAAGGUAGCUGGUGUCGUCACGCAGGGCUUCCUGAAGGCGAACGCCAACAUUGAUACGGCACUCAGCGACACUCCUGAAGAGGUGACAUGGGAGAUCAAGAUCCACUACGAUAGUCUAGGGGUGUCGUAGCUGAGCAUGGGGAGUGGGGCGGCGACGGUAGCAGCGAUAGACGAAGGAGAGGCCACUGGGGAUGGCAUUCACAAAGGAGGCCUGCGAAGUUGCAGCUUCGCAGUGCACUGCGCGCUAGCAGAUGCCGUUCUUGGUGUACAAGGUCCUGGCUGGGCAGCGUCUCUGUCUCCGCAGUUUCGCUUGGCCUUUCGUACUUUCUGUUUCGUUGGGUUCUGUUUGUAUGUUUACGGGCGUGCAUGUGUUUCUCUGGAGCAGCAUUGAUUCCUGUGCAGUGGCGAUGGCCUAUACGUGUUCUCACUUUGGGGCGGACCAAGAGCGCACUCUGUCUCUAGGACGUUUUCCCCAAUCAGUGCAUUACAGCCACCCGCGCACCAAAAGAAAGGCAAGAAAAGAAUCAAUGACUCAUUCUCUUGUUUGUCUGCUACCAUGGACAGACAUCGACCCACCGAAAUUCAGUCUACAAAGUCGCGUCUGACCCGCCACGUAAGGGGGACGGUCGGAUACGGGGUGUUGGAGCGGCAACCUUUCGCUCUUCCAAGCCGGUUUACACAGCAACAGCUACAAGCAAAGCAGCGGUACAACCACCCUUCCCGUGCGCCGAGACGACACCGAUGGCCUUAUCAACUCGGUUGUUCGUAAGAACACUUGUUCAACCAUGAGAAUCUAUCCCAACAACAUCGACACCAUUGUCUCUACGUCACCUUCUGUUUUCCUGGAUCUCUCCUUCAUUUCCCUGUCUCUCGCGCUACGUGAGUCCUUGUACACCCCCCUGCGAGGCAUCCACAGCUUCUGUGAUC
rnacentral:misc_RNA from 1 species